GCGAGCGUUAAUCGGAAUUACUGGGCGUAAAGCGCAUGCAGGCGGCCGCGUUAAGUCAGAUGUGAAAGACCCGGGGCGUUAACCUCGGAAUUGCAUUUGAAACUAGGCAGGCUAGAGUCUUGUAGAGGGGGGUAGGAAGUUUCAGGUGUAGCGGUGAAAUGCGUAGAGAUCUGAAGGAAUACCAGUGGCGAAGGCGGCCCCCUCGGACAAAGACUGACGCUCAGAUGCGAAAGCGUGGGGAGCAAACAGGAUUAGAUACCCUGGUAG
rnacentral:rRNA from 1 species